GAUGAACGCUAGCUACAGGCUUAACACAUGCAAGUCGAGGGACCGGCGCACGGGUGAGUAACACGUAUCCAACCUGCCCUUUACUCGGGGAUAGCCUUUCGAAAGAAAGAUUACUACCCGAAAUAAAGGAUGGGGAUGCGUUCGAUUAGGUUGUUGGUGAGGUAACGGCUAACCAAGCCUUCGAUGGGUAGGGGUUGUGAGAGGAAGGUCCCCCAGGUUGGAACUGAGACACGGACCAAACUGCUACGGGAGGCAGGAGAUAGGUAUAUUAGUCAAUGGGCGCUAGCCUGAACCAGCCAAGUAGCGUGAAGGAUUAAGGCUUAUGGAUCGUAAACUUCUUUUAAAUAAGAAUCGGUAUUAUAUGAAUAAGGAUCGGCUAACUCCGUGCCAGCAGCCGCGGUAAUAC
rnacentral:rRNA from 1 species